UUUUUUUUUUUUUUUUUUCCUGCUUUUUUAGGGCCACACAUGUGGCACAUGGAAGUUCCCAGGCUAGGGGUCUAAUCAGAGCUACAGCUGCCAGCCUAUACCACAGCCACAGCAAUGCCAGAUUCAAGCCACAUGUGCAAACCACAUAGGCUCAUGACAACGCCAAAUUCUUAACCCACUGAGAGAGGCCAGGGAUUGAACCUGCAACCUCCUGGUUCCUAGUCAGAUUCGUUUCUGCUGCGCCAUGACGGGAACUCCUUUGUCAGGAAUUUUCUUUCUACCUACCCAUGCUUUUCAGUUCUUUCUCUGCUCUUCUGAGAUACAUGUAAAUUCUUUUAAAAACCUCUUGGCAGUUUUACUCCCCAGUAAUAGCUUUUUAAGGGUCUGGGAGACAUCUUCUGAAAUGUAAUCAUUUAGGAAGACAGCACCCAUACCCCCAUUCUCCGUUGCAGGGCAGGAGCCUAACUUUCAUAAGUACCAAAUAGCAAAUAGAUAGCUUAAUCACAAAGAAAAAUUUUACAAACUUAGAAAACAACUCAUUGUGCUCCACACAUCCCAUUGAUCAACCUCCUCCAUAACUUCCUCCAGUAUUUUCUACUAGCUCAUCCCAGCCUUCCCUGAAAAGCCAUCCAACAGUUGUUUAAGCAGAGUCAAAUUUAGACUGACAUAUAGCUUUUGUCCACUAUUGCAACAGCUUUGAGCAAAAUCUCCCUUGUCUACAUUUUCCUGUGCAAUUCUUACUUUGAAAACAUUUAUCAGAUCUAAAUAAAAUCACCUGUAACUUUGGAUAACAUUAUGCGAUCUUUGAACAUCCAUGGGGAAGGACCCAAGAGUGUCAGAAAGACAUAACCUAAAUAAAUAAACUAAGCACAGAAAGGGACUAUGUGUAUAUGCUCGGAUCUUUGGAUCUUUAACACAAGUAAGUGAUAUUUAAUGCUACCAACACCAAUGAAAAUAGAAAUAAAAGUGAUUAAAGGUAAAUUUCAUGACCAUUUGUUGAAAUGAGAAAAUACCCUGCGUCAAAAAACAAUGAUUGAUAAUUAUAAAAUAUUUAAGAAAUCCCCCCCUUUUUUUAAACUAUAAGGACAGGUAAGGGCACUGUUUCUUAGUUUUAUUUUAGUAGUGUAUCACUCUGAAGCUAUUUACAAAGAAAUAAACUAGGUACAACAAUACAAUGUCAGUUAACUUGCCCAAAAGCUAUUUGUUUUUCCUCUUGAGAAAACAAACAAACAAACAAACAAACACCUAUGGGAAUCUUAGUUAAUGGAGUAAAUUGAGAUGAAUUUAAUAAACAUUUAUUGAUUUUUAUGUGUCAACCACUGCUAAGUUCUGAGACAAUGAACAAAGUGUCACUCUUGUUUGGAAAAACACAAAACACUCUCCUUAGUUGAUAGUUACAUAAAAAUAUUGUGGUGCUUUAUUGUGGUAAAUGCAAUGGUAGAUAUUCAUGAGAUGACAGAGAACACUUAUCUCAAUCUGAGGUUUAAUGGAAAUUUUCUGAGAGGGUUUCUCUCUAAAAGAGUUAAAUCUGGAUAAAAAUAAACAAGUUAUCCCAAUGAUGAAGUUGGGAGAGAGUUUUAACAUGACAUCAAGUUAUUUUUCCUUGAAUGACUAGGUGGUACUAUCAAAUGAGAUUGGGCAAGGAUUUAAAAAAAAAAAUAGAUGUAAGUUGAUGUGUUUGAGAAAGUUGUGGAAAUGCCCAGUGGAUAUGUCUAGCUAUAAAUGCAUAUAUGAACAUAAACUCAGAAAACAGGCCUGGAUUGAAGAUGUGGAGGUGGAACUCAUCAAAGCCAUUCAUGGCUUGUAUAUAAAACUUGAAAAGAAGGUAAGAUAGCCCAGAGAAAGACAAGAGCAAUGAAUUUGAGAGAGAACUGAGGGCAACCCCAACAUUUCAGUGAUAGGCAGAGGAAGAGUACACAAAUGAAAAGUACAUAGAGUAAACAGUAUAACAGAAUUCCAGAGAGCAAAGAGUUCUAGAAAGUUGUGCCUGGUAUACAAUAGAGAGGUCCAGCAAGUGGAAUGAAUGUUCUCUCUGGAUUUGGCAAUAUUGAGUUUUUGUUGACUUCCGCCUUAGAUGUUAACUUGAGUGAUGAAGACUAAAACAAAUUGCAAUGUGUUGGUCAAUCAAUUAAAUCUGAAUGAUUAGAGAUGGUGAAUAUAGUUAGUAUAUGUAGUUAGUACAAAGUUUUUUAUUUGAAAAUGGGAUUGUAUUCUUUGUGUGCUAAGCCCCAGAAUGGGAAGACAGAAGAAAACACCGUAUGUAGGAGAUGAGGAAAAUAACUGCAAAAGUUAGAGGUCAAAGAUAAAUGAAAUAGAGGAGCUACUGAUGGAGCAAAGUCCUUGUUGACAAGAAAAGAGAUGAGAUCAAGUAUCAAUGUGAAAACAGACUGGCCUUGAUCAGGGGUAGAAGCACUUCAUCUCCUGUGAAUGAGAUAAGAAAAUGAAAAUAAAUUGGAGGUAAAUGAAAAUGUCAAUACAUUUGAAAGGAGGAAGAAGAAACUAUAUUAGUUUAUUCUAAGUAACUUUAAUUAUGGUUUUGAAUUUGUUGGUAUGGCAGUAGUAAGAAAAGUAUGGGUGGGUAGGAGACUUAAGAUAAUAGGUGAUCUAGUUAGGUAGGGAAAUGCAAGAGCAGUCCAAAAACAGGAAAAAUUACUGAUAAAUAUUACUGAAGUUAAAUAACACAAAUUACCUCUAAAUUAUGUAUUGAUUUCUCACCUGUCCUUUGCGUAGCUUAGGUCAUGUACAGGCAUCUUCGAGUUAGUAUUUCAUGAUUGUAUUCUCUGUGUGCUAAGCCUCAGGCCUUGGUCUCAGGUGUCGGCCUCCCCAGGUUUUGCUUUAUCCCCAUCUCCUGCAGACCUCUCUCCUCCUGCUUCUUGGUUGCUGCCACCACUCACUCCUGUCUGAUCUCCUAUUUCCCUCAAGACCAGCACGAAUAUGUGAUAAUUUCUUCCUCAGAAUUUCCUUUGCUGUUUUUUCCAAAGACAGUAAAUAAGCCCUCUUUUAAAUUUUAAGUUUCACUACUAAUACUAUGGAAAAAUAGGUAACAUAUACAAAAGUUAUACUUUACACACAUCUAAAAAUGGCAGUAAGUGGUUUGAUCAGAAAGAAUUAUGAAUGGAUACCACCUAGUAUUUCCUCCUCUGCCUAUAUUACCUUGGGGACAGAGGUCAUGAAAAGAACCCCUUCCUUCUAUUCUCUCAUUUAUUGAAAUUGAGGCCUGAAGACAUAAUCAAGGCAGAACAACAGGUGCCCCCUUGUCUCAAGUGGGUCAUUUGCAUCUUGAAGUAUCUCUGGAUUCUAGGUAAUACUUUCCCAAGGGGUUUAAGUUUCUUCCUGGAAUGAUCACUUUUGGAAUUUGCUUCACAGUGUGUUUCACUAGAAUUGCCUUUUAUUACACUGAAGAUUUGUCAAGUGAUUGUGCCCAGCUGAGAUUUCCGGAGAUGUAGGGCCAUCCAUCUUAUACAGCCAUGUGCCUGCUCUAGAGAGCCUCUCAGAGUAAAUACAUAAAGCCCAAGUAAACAAAUCAAUUUAACCCUUGGGAGUUCCCAUAGUGGCUCAGUGGUAACGAAUGCAACUAGUAUCCCUGAGGAUGCAGGUUUGAUCCUUGGCCCUGCUUAGUGGGUUAAGAAUUGUUUUCUAUUUGCUUGUUUGUUUUUUUGUCUUUUCUAGGGCCACUAGCUCGGGUUCCCAGGGGUUCCUGAGGCUAGGGGUCUAAUCAGAGCUGACUUUCGCCAGAGCCACAGCAACACCAGAUAUGAGCUGGGUCUGCGACCUGCACCACAGCUCACAGCAAUGCUGGAUCCUUAACCCACUGAGUGAGGCCAGGGAUCGAACCCGCAACCUCACGGUUCCUAGUCGGAUUCAUUUCCAAUGCGCCACUAUGGGAACUCCAAAAGUACACUGUGAUAUUUUUCAUACAUAAAUUUCAAACUAAUAUUUUAUAGACUCCAAUGACUAUGUGUUGAUUAUAUAUCUUUCAUAAGUGUAUACAAAGUUUUGAGAGAAUUAAUAUCUGAACGAUUUAAACACAAUGCUUGAAGAAUUUACAAUACAUUGAGUCAAAGACAAAAAUUUUAUGUAAGACAAAAAUAGCAAGAGUUCUAAAUAAAAAGGCAAAAUUGCACAGGGAAAAGAGUUUGAAGGAAACAUUUUGGCAAAAUGUAGUGGGUAUCAGCUGAUGCAAAGUUUGAAAAAAAUUCAAUAUAGGAGAGAUGGGAAAUAAGAAUGGGAAGAGAAAGGCAUUUUUCUGAAAACCUGGAGAGCCUCAUGAAACUUCGUCAUAACAGAAUGAAAUCAAUUGUCAUUUGACAAACCAUAAAUGAAAAUUGCUCAAAGAAUAUCAAAAAUAAAAUAAUGUUUAGCUGAAUAUAUAGGAGGAAAAUACAUAGUGAUGUAUAUGUCCUAUAGGUAUUUAAAAUUUUAUUCUAGGCCUGCUUGCAUAUGGUAAAUAAAUGAUGUAAGUUUGGGAAAAAAAAUUACUUCAUAAAAAUAGCCUAAUCCCUAUUAACAUCCUGUAAACAGUUUUUUAGUGAAAAACAAUUCAUUAGUGACAUUAUGUUUGUCAUUUUUAAUCAACUGUAAUGCCAUGUUAAAAUCUGACAAAUAUACUUCAGAUAGAUUAAAAAAAAAAAAAAAAAAAAAAAAAAAA
rnacentral:lncRNA from 1 species